rnacentral:rRNA from 1 species
UACGGAGGGUGCAAGCGUUAUUCGGAAUUACUGGGCGUAAAGCGCGCGUAGGCGGCUCACUAAGUCUGAUGUGAAAUCCCUGGACUCAAUCCAGGAAGUGCAUUGGAUACUGAUGGGCUGGAGUAUGGGAGAGGAGAGCGGAAUUGCUGGUGUAGAGGUGAAAUUCGCAGAUAUCAGGAGGAACAACAGAGGCGAAGGCGGCUCUCUGGACCAUAACUGACGCUGAGGCGCGAAAGCGUGGGGAGCAAACAGG